AGCUGGAGUCUCACCUCCUGCAGGCCACCAAGCACAGUGUGUCACCAUGACCAUGGACAAGGACCCCCACAUCCAGGCACUGCACAAGACCUUGGCGGAGAACCUGGAUAUAAUGCUGAGGAGCCUGCUGGCAGCAUCCCACAACACAGAGUAGCUCCAGCACAUCUUAGAGAUGAUCAUGGUGGGGAUGGGCCAGGGAAUUCUGCUAACCCCGUUCGGGGCUGCAAAGGAGAGACUGGAAGAUCCAUGUUUCCAUCGUGUCCCCCUAGCUGGAAUUCCAUGGGGCCACCUUGGCCAGGACACUCUGCCAUGCAAUGCUGUCCUCCUUCUGGGAAUAGCGGGAAGGAGCUGGGCCUUCAAGCCUGGCUCUGCAGUGCCUCCUUUUGGCUAGAUUUGGUGUAGCCAUUCACAGUAUACCAGGCUGGCUCGGGGAGCAAGAGCCUCAACCCUAGUGAGACCCAGGGGAUGGUCCUGAGAGAAGAGUCACUGGCUUCUCCCUAAGAAGACCCUGAGAUACAGGAAAGUCCUCGGGGAAUCGGCCUUUCUCUCCCAGGGACAUUGUCCUCACCACCACUUACUCUGUCCCUCUGAGGGCUUCAGAGCAGGGAGGGUGUCAGGGGUCUGACUUCUGCCUGAUGAGCUGUUCAUGAGUCAGGGGAGCAAAGAGGGUGGGACCAGCCCCAAGACCAAAUAUUGUCCCAAUCUACUGUGACUGGCAAGUCGCAGGCAGUGUCCUGGGUGCAGCAAAUCCCUUCUAAAGCUCUGAGAUCAGUGAGUCGGCCAAUUCCACCAAGCACAAAGUCUUCAGCUGCUGGAGGUCUCAUUUGUACAGCAUGUGGGCCCUUUCACCAUGGCCUGCCUCCUCCUCUCACAGCACAUCGGCUUCUGCAUCCACUCCAGAGUCACCCAGAAGAGAGCCAGGGCUCUAAAGACCAGCACUGCCCUGCUAUGAUAUGCCAGCCACCUCCCAGGAUUUGACCCAAGUGACCUUUGACCCUGAGUGUAGGCAGGGCUGGCUCUGGCAAGGCUGUGGGAUCUAGGGGCUCUGGGCUGGGGUGCAGUCAGAGCUGGCAAUCAGAUGAUCAGUUGGCAAGUUCUUCUUCUCCUGGCGAAGUGGUGCUCCCUGGGUCUGUAGGCAACUGUUCCACAGCUGCUCCAGCCUGAUUGUGCCUGGCCUUGGUUCGUUCUUCUUAUCCUGGAGCAGCUGGGGGUGUGAGUUCUCAUGCAGGGCCCUGCCCUAGUCCCUCUGCUCCAGGCUCUAUUUGGGGCAGAGGGAAUUAGGGCUCUGGGAAGGGCGAGACUCCUGGCCUGGGAGAGACUGGGAGCUGAAGGUGAAACGCUAAUGGAUUCACCCGCCUCUUCCUUCUACUAGAACUCCUCCAAGUUCCCCCACACAAUUAACCCUUUACUUUUGGUGAUCCAGCUGCAAGCUGCUGAGACUGAAAUCAAAGACUUGCAGUCAGCGUUUGAGCUGGAGAAGAUUGAUUAUCUCACCACUGUUCGCUGAAGGCAUGGGACUGCUUCCUCUUUCAGCAGCUUCUGGAUCAGGUGCAGCCCCUCAUGCCACGUGACAGUAACUAUAGCAACCUAGACAAGAUCAGACACGAGUCAGUCUGGAAUGAGGACAGCGGCUGCUGAAAACUCCUGGAGCCCGUCAUUCAAAAAACCAGCCCCCCUGCAGCAGUUCCAUCACUGCCACAGACUAAGCCAGCCAGGAAGAGCUCCUCAGGCGAGAACGGAGAGCUGAUGAUGCAGGAAGAGGACCGCUACAAACUGAUGCUGAGCAGGAGUGACAGUGAGAAUAUUACCAGUAACUAUUUCCGGUCCAAGCGAGCCAGCCCGAUCCUCGGUGCUGAUCCUACAGAGUCUUCAUAAAUAUCUGACGCUCCUCCUUUCCUUUUGUCCAUUUGCCUGUAUCUCCUCCAGUAGGGUGCCAUUCCAUCUGUCAAGGUCAGCACCUCUCAGACCCACUUGAGAAGGUUGAAUGAUAUGAAAGACACAAACAGCCGACUGAUGCGCUGAAACCUGUUUCUCCAGCCCUAUGCAUUCCAAGUUCCGGAUAGGGAAGGCAAAGCUCCCCAGAACACUGACUUUGCUCCCCCGCAUUCCCUGGAGAAAAUGUGAUGGCCCCAGCUCUACUAGCUCCAUCUUGGGGGGAGGGUGUGUGAUUGCGUGCACAAACCCCACACUGAGCAACAAGGAGCUAAGGAAAUACUCUGGCCUAGCCAGCCCCACCACAUCCUUGGCAAAUGCACCAAGUGGAGGAGGGGGUAAAAGGCAGGGGAGCAGCUCAUUUUGUAGCAGACCAGGAAGGAGAGCAGACAUGCUACUGGCAGCUCCAGGAGAGACGAGCUGAGAGAAGUCAGAAACUCCCCCUAAACAACUGCCAAAAGGUCCCUCCCUGAGGAAAGGGAAGGCCUGCUGCAGGGACAGCCUGAGAGAGAAGCACUCCCCUCGCCCUGUCAUAUGAACUCUGGACUUGAUUGAUCCCCUUUAUUUGCUGUUUGGACUACCCCAAUAGAGGAAAGUCCUUGGACUGAGCUGGCCCCAGGAGACUGGGCCAUACCCCAGGAGGAGGCAGUUGCCACCCGAGAGGAAAAGAGAAUGACCUCACUACAUGCAGCCGCCAGACGGUGCCGUGGGGUGAACAGACAACCCUCACGCUGCUUUACCCCAGACAGUGACCUUGGGACAGUUGCAGGGAGGUGGUAGGAAGUGGCCUUAAGCAUCCUGAGCUGUCAGAGUCCUGAUAGCCAUGGGUGCUCCGGGGCUCACGCACUCAUGGAUAAAAAUACGGGGUGCUCAGCAUGCACAGCCACACUGGUUCAGGCCUGGGCUGGCUGCCAGCAGACCGGCUAGCCGGAGGCGCUCGGGGGAGGGGUGGAGCAGGGGUAAGAAGAGGCGGAGCAAGGG